GAUGAACGCUGGCGGCGUGCCUAAUACAUGCAAGUCGAGCGAACGGACGAGAAGCUUGCUUUUCUGAUGUUAGCGGCGGACGGGGGAGUAACACGUGGAUAACCUACCUUUAAGACUGGGAUAACUUCGGGAAACCGGAGCUAAUACCGGAUAAUAUUUUGAACCGCAGGGUUCAAAAGUGAAAGACGGUCUUGCUGUCACUUAUAGAUGGAUCCGCGCUGCAUUAGCUAGUUGGUAAGGUAACGGCUUACCAAGGCAACGAUGCAUAGCCGACCUGAGAGGGUGAUCGGCCACACUGGAACUGAGACACGGUCCAGACUCCUACGGGAGGCAGCAGUAGGGAAUCUUCCGCAAUGGGCGAAAGCCUGACGGAGCAACGCCGCGUGAGUGAUGAAGGUCUUCGGAUCGUAAAACUCUGUUAUUAGGGAAGAACAUAUGUGUAAGUAACUAUGCACAUCUUGACGGUACCUAAUCAGAAAGCCACGGCUAACUACGUG
rnacentral:rRNA from 1 species